rnacentral:rRNA from 1 species
GUGCAGCAGUCGCGAAACCUCCGCAAUACGCGAAAGCGUGACGGGGCCAUCCCGAGUGCCGUCCGCUGAGGACGGCUUUUCCCCAGUGUAGACAGCUGGGGGAAUAAGGGGAGGGCAAGUCGGGUGUCAGCCGCCGCGGUAAUACCCGCUCCCCGAGUGGUGGGGACGCUUAUUGGGCCUAAAGCAUCCGUAGCCGGCUGGACAAGUCCCCUGUUAAAUCCAGCGAUUCAAUCGCUGGACUGCGGGGGAUACUGUCUAGCUAGGGGGCGGGAGAGGCCGACGGUAUUCCCGGGGUAGGGGUGAAAUCUUAUAAUCCCGGGAGGACCACCAGUGGCGAAGGCUGUCGGCUGGAACGCGCCCGACGGUGAGGGAUGAAAGCUGGGGGAGCGAACCGGAUUAGAUACCCGGGUAGUCC